ensembl:lncRNA
UUAAAUGUGUUUGAUGUCCUUCAAUUUUACUUAUCUAGUAUUCAUUAUUAUGUAUUAAUAAUAUCCAGGCUCUCGUUAUUUUUGAAUAUUAUAUACAUUUUAGUUCCUCAGUAAGGUUUGUAAUAUUUGUGUUCAUUUAAAAAGCAAAUUUUCCGAACAGCCAGAAUGAAUAUGGGAUAUCCAAAGUGUUAAAUCUUCAGACCUUUUUUGCUCAUAGGUCCACUUUCCAAAAUAUCCCAUCCUUUCACAACCCCUUACCAUCCAUCUACAGAAAGCAAAAAAAAAAAGAAAAGAAAAUAAUGUUAAAACGUAUUCUUACACAUAACACUGAAAUGAAAUCUCAGCUCUGGCCCACAUCACACACACACACACACACAGACCUGCGUGAAAAAAAAAAAAAAGCUUGCUAAGCUAUCCGUUUCACAUACGCAGGGACAGAAGGUUCGAUAUUCAUUCGAUCGAUGAAUGAAAAGGCACAAUGGCAAAAUCGGACGGGGCUCCUUUUCAAAUCCACGUCUCCAAUGUCCCCCUCCCCGUCACCCCUCUGCAGUCUGCAGUCGCAGGGCGGCCGGAGCGGCAGAGAGAGAAAGAGAGAGAGAGGAGAGCAAGGGUUACAUCAAGGCUGCUCCCUGGACCGUGCAAACAAGUCUAGACCAGUGACCUGUUCAAUGGCUCCUUUUCAGGAGCGGGGGCAAGUUCGCUCAGAGCGAGGAGAAAGGCAGGCAUGCUCUCUUUUCAGCGGCGAAGCAGCUCACAGCCCGCAACCGCCAGGAGGUAAGGAGGGCCGGGGGGGCAAGCAUCUGCUUCCAUGGUUACGGGCCGGGUAUGGGGACCCUACUAUUGAGGAGCCUCCGUUCUCAUGCUCCCACAGAGGCAAUGUCACGCAUCUUUAAAAAAAAAAAAAAGAGAGAGAAAGAGGGAGAGAAAGAGGGAGAGAAAGCGGCAGGGCCAGGGCGAGGGCGAGGACCAUAUCCACAGCAGCACAGAGUUGCUCUUUGAGAGGGAAAAUAAAAUGAUAGCACAUGUCUGCUUGUGGAGGAGAGCUGAGGAGAAAAAAAACACAGAGUUGGGAAACGCUUUAGUGAUGGGGGCGGCGGCAUGUGCUGGAUAAAGAAAGAAAUGCGUCACAUGAUCGUAGCGAAUCCUAAUUCAAAAGGGAGAAGAGUGAAAACUUGAGCUGCCCUGGACCCAUCAAGAACCACCGAGGCGAGACAGAUUCUGAAACCGAGGGAAAGAAGGAACAAGGAAGUCACAAGCGAGCCCUGCUGGGAGGCGGGUCCUCAGGCUAUGCGGGAGCGACACCGCAACCCCCCCCAGCCCCCCCCCCUCCCUGCCUCUAUCAUCAUCAGCAUCGUCAUCAUCAGUAUGCAGGGCCGGUCGGCCAGGUUACUGCUGGAGUCCGCAGUAACAGCUCGUCCGGAGAGCCAUAAAGCAGGUAAAGAAAAUACAUCAAGCCCCAUGCAGCGAGCCCUCCAGGGGAGAGGAACCCUCUGACCCUCCCCACCACUCACUCACACAGCGCUCAUACCCUCACCAAUACACAUGGAGAUAGAUGGUGUUUAUGCAUGGUUGGUUUAUGUUCUACUAUAGCCAUAGUUUAAUUUAUCAUCUAUUUAUUAUUACGUACUGGUUCUUUUCGUAACUUUUUUUAGGAUUGUUUAUAUUAUGAGGGUUUCAUUGUGUGUGUUUUCUUAAUGUGUUGUAUGUAUUAAAACUUAAUAAAAUCGUUUUGAUAUGGUGGAAUUACUUGUUGUGCGUUUUUCUGCCCGAUCG